rnacentral:rRNA from 1 species
GAAGUCGUAACAAGGUUUCCGUAGGUGAACCUGCGGAAGGAUC